rnacentral:rRNA from 1 species
UACGAAGGGGGCUAGCGUUGCUCGGAAUCACUGGGCGUAAAGGGUGCGUAGGCGGGUCUUUAAGUCAGGGGUGAAAUCCUGGAGCUCAACUCCAGAACUGCCUUUGAUACUGAAGAUCUUGAGUUCGGGAGAGGUGAGUGGAACUGCGAGUGUAGAGGUGACAUUCGUAGAUAUUCGCAAGAACACCAGUGGCGAAGGCGGCUCACUGGCCCGAUACUGACGCUGAGGCACGAAAGCGUGGGGAGCAAACAGG